rnacentral:rRNA from 1 species
GACGAACGCUGGCGGCGCGCCUAACACAUGCAAGUCGAACGAGCGAGAGAGAGCUUGCUUUCUUGAGCGAGUGGCGAACGGGUGAGUAACGCGUGAGGAACCUGCCUCAAAGAGGGGGACAACAGUUGGAAACGACUGCUAAUACCGCAUAAGCCCACGACCCGGCAUCGGGUUGAGGGAAAAGGAGCAAUCCGCUUUGAGAUGGCCUCGCGUCCGAUUAGCUAGUUGGUGAGGUAACGGCCCACCAAGGCGACGAUCGGUAGCCGGACUGAGAGGUUGAACGGCCCCAUUGGGCCUGGGACCCGGCCCAUACCCCCGAGGGGGGCCGCAGGGGGGAAUAUGGCAAAAGGGGGGAAACCCUGGUGCGGCGGCGCCGGGGGGAGGAGGAAGGUUUUGGGUUUUUAAACUCCUGUUUGUGGGGAAGAUAAUGCCGGUACUAAAAAAGGAAGUGACGGCAACUUCCGG